UAAUUAAUGGGGUAUACUGUAUUGAAAUUCUAGAACGUCAACAUACAAGCGCUGCAUCAAAGUCUAAUUCCGUAAACUGAGAAGAAAAAUCAACCAUCCUAUUCAAACAACGCGCUCCAACCUACAUAUACACCUCAUCCCAACAAGUUUGUUAUUGUUUUCUAAUAACAUAGAACUAAUGGCAGGUGGCUCUAUGAGGUCUGCUUUGGUGACCCUCUUCAUCUUUGCCGUCGUACUCUCUCCGAUUUCAACCCCAGAGGCAGCUCGAUUCGUUUUUCUAGAUACAACUCCUAUAUGUCCAGCUUGUGUAUGCUGCGCACCUGCACCACAAGGCUCUUGUUGCGAUUGUUGUGCUACACCAAUUGAAACUCAGUCCCAGGAAGGGUCACCAUGAUACAGCAAAUAUGUAUACAUAUAUAUACCUGGCUUCAUGUCACGGUGAAGGAAAAAUAAUGAUCAUUUGUAUAUAGAAAGCUGAACACGGGCUUCCUCUUCUUGGAAACCAUGUCCCAUCUUGAAUAAAACUAUAUGUUAUAACA